UUUAGAGGGCUCAGCGGUUGAGCACAGAGGAGAACCGUAUUUGUGUGAUCACAUAAAGACUGAGGAGGAUGAAGUUCCUAUAUAUAUGGCUACAGGUGAUGUUAAGACUGAAGUCACAAUUAAUGCUGAACAGACUGAUGAUCUGGUAGCUCUGAAGCAGGAAAUUAGUGACAAUAUCAGUACAGGUGAGUGUACAUGUGUGAUAUGUCAGAGGGGUGCAUUGUACAUGUGAGUGCACGUGUGAUGUGUCUGAGGGGUGCAGGGUACAUGUGAGUGCAUGUGUGAGACGUAUCUGAGGGGUGCAGGGUACAUGUGAGAGCAUGUGUGAUGUGUCUGAGGGACGCAGGUCACAGGUGAGUGUACAUGUGUGAUGCGUCUGAUGGGUGCAUGGACCAAGGGAGUGUAUGUGUGUGAUGUGUCUGAGGGAUGCAGGUCACAAGUGAGUUUACAUUUGUGACAUGUAAGCUGGAACCUGUGAAGCAGGAUAUCAGUGACAAUAUCAGUACAGGUAAGUGUACAUGUGUGAUAUGUCUGAGAGAUACAGAUCAUCUGUACCACUAAGCACAGGGAGGU